rnacentral:rRNA from 1 species
UGGGGAAUCUUGCGCAAUGGGCGAAAGCCUGACGCAGCGACGCCGCGUGCGGGAGGACGGCCUUCGGGUCGUAAACCGCUGUUGCCCGGGACGAAUGCCCUUCGAUGGGAGGUGAUCGGUACCGGGUGAGGAAGCACCGGCUAACUCCGUGCCAGCAGCCGCGGUAAUACGGAGGGUGCGAGCGUUGUCCGGAAUCACUGGGCGUAAAGGGCGCGUAGGCGGCGCGGGAAGGCGGCGGUGAAAGUCCGGGGCUCAA